ACUCCUACGGGAGGCAGCAGUGGGGAAUAUUGCACAAUGGGGGAAACCCUGAUGCAGCCAUGCCGCGUGUGUGAAGAAGGCCUUCGGGUUGUAAAGCACUUUCAGUAGGGAGGAAGGUAGUNUAGUUAACACCUGCAUUAUUUGACGUUUACCUACAGAAGAAGCACCGGCUAACUCCGGUGCCAGCAGCCGCGGUAAUACGGAGGGUGCGAGCGUUAAUCGGAAUUACUGGGCGUAAAGCGCAUGCAGGCGGCCUGUUAAGUCAGAUGUGAAAGCCCGGGGCUUAACCUCGGAAUUGCAUUUGAAACUGGCAGGCUAGAGUCUUGUAGAGGGGGGUAGAAUUUCAGGUGUAGCGGUGAAAUGCGUAGAGAUCUGAAGGAAUACCAGUGGCGAAGGNGGCCCCCUGGACAAAGACUGACGCUCAGAUGCGAAAGCGUGGGGAGCAAACAGGAUUAGAUACCCUGGUAGCUAGU
rnacentral:rRNA from 1 species